GUUGCUUCAGCAGACGGCCUGAUAGCUGAAGUGUCCGAGCUCAUGCAGGAGAGUCGCACCCAUGGUCGGCAUGCACAACCAGGUGGGAACCAUUUCAGUGGGGCCAGUUCCGGUUACCAGGCUCCAUUGACUUGGAGUGGAGCUAGAGGUGCUCCUCAUUAUCACAUCACCGGAGAGCAACUGAGGGGUCUGAUGAUAGAUGGCAGAUAUUCUCCACAUGUUCCAUUCUACACUCAAACCACAUCUAAGGCACUUUGCAUUAACCUGAAGGCAGCUGCCUUCCCAUCAAUGUUGCAGAGGCUGCACAGAAGGUACAGUGUUGCUGCUCUGAAUUCUUUAUAACACAUCGAUGGAAACUACAGACUGAAGGUGGAGGAUAGACAUUAUGUGUAUCUGCCUUGAAUCAACAGAGACAUGGCAGACUUCUGCAACCAGUGGAACCACCAUGGUUUAAGGACUGAGAGGCACCAGUCCCCUCUGCAGAUUUUCAUUAGGACUUGCCUUGCACAACAAAUGCUACCUAACACUUCACGGUUCAGGACGGGGCCGUUCAGGACGGGGCGGCUCAGGAUUUUUGCAAAAGAUCAUUCAAAAAAACAUCACAUUUAAAAGCAAACCUUAAUACAGUGAACACCAUACUGUCAUUGAAAGUAGUUACUGAUUGAAUACAUCUAGUAGAGAUGCUAGAUACUGAGAACUUAUGUCCUGCUGAGUUGUGAGUGAUGAGGUUAAAAUG